rnacentral:rRNA from 1 species
AGUGAACGCUGGCGGUAGGCCUAACACAUGCAAGUCGAACGGCAGCACAGUAAGAGCUUGCUCUUACGGGUGGCGAGUGGCGGACGGGUGAGGAAUACAUCGGAAUCUACUUUUUCGUGGGGGAUAACGUAGGGAAACUUACGCUAAUACCGCAUACGACCUACGGGUGAAAGCAGGGGAUCUUCGGACCUCGCGUGAUUGAAUGAGCCGAUGUCGGAUUAGCUAGUUGGCGGGGUAAAGGCCCACCAAGGCGACGAUCCGUAGCUGGUUUGAGAGGAUGAUCAGCCACACUGGAACUGAGACACGGUCCAGACUCCUACGGGAGGCAGCAGUGGGGAAUAUUGGACAAUGGGCGCAAGCCUGAUCCAGCCAUACCGCGUGGGUGAAGAAGGCCUUCGGGUUGUAAAGCCCUUUUGUUGGGAAAGAAAAGCAGCAGGUUAAUACCCCGCUGUUCUGACGGUACCCAAAGAAUAAGCACCGGCUAACUUCGUG